rnacentral:rRNA from 1 species
AGUGAACGCUGGCGGUAGGCCUAACACAUGCAAGUCGAACGGCAGCACAGUAAGAGCUUGCUCUUACGGGUGGCGAGUGGCGGACGGGUGAGGAAUACAUCGGAAUCUACUUUUUCGUGGGGGAUAACGUAGGGAAACUUACGCUAAUACCGCAUACGACCUACGGGUGAAAGCAGGGGAUCUUCGGACCUUGCGCGAUUGAAUGAGCCGAUGUCGGAUUAGCUAGUUGGCGGGGUAAAGGCCCACCAAGGCGACGAUCCGUAGCUGGUCUGAGAGGAUGAUCAGCCACACUGGAACUGAGACACGGUCCAGACUCCUACGGGAGGCAGCAGUGGGGAGUAUUGGACAAUGGGCGCAAGCCUGAUCCAGCCAUACCGCGUGAGUGAAGAAGGCCUUCGGGUUGUAAAGCCCUUUUGUUGGGAAAGAAAAGCAGCAGGUUAAUACCCCGCUGUUCUGACGGUACCCAAAGAAUAGACACCGGCUAACUUCGUG